AGCAUGUUAAUUCAGAGGAAGAAUGUCGGGCUCAUAACCCGAAAGUCGCUGGAUAAACCAGCACAUGCUA
rfam:Aspergillus nomius NRRL 13137 contig00413, whole genome shotgun sequence.